rnacentral:rRNA from 1 species
UCGGACGGGUGAGUAACGCGUGAGAAUCUAGCUCUAGGUCGGGGACAACAGUUGGAAACGACUGCUAAUACCGGAUGUGCCGAAAGGUAAAAGGCUUGCUGCCUAGAGAUGAGCUCGCGUCUGAUUAGCUAGUUGGUGAGGUAAGAGCGCACCAAGGCGACGAUCAGUAGCUGGUCUGAGAGGAUGAUCAGCCACACUGGGACUGAGACACGGCCCAGACUCCUACGGGAGGCAGCAGUGGGGAAUUUUCCGCAAUGGGCGAAAGCCUGACGGAGCAAUACCGCGUGAGGGAGGAAGGCUCUUGGGUUGUAAACCUCUUUUCUCAAGGAAUAACUCAAUGAAGGUACUUGAGGAAUAAGCAUCGGCUAACUCCGUGCCAGCAGCCGCGGUAAUACGGAGGAUGCAAGCGUUAUCCGGAAUGAUUGGGCGUAAAGGGUCCGCAGGUGGCAGUGUAAGUCUGCUGUCAAAGAAUGAGGCUUAACCUUAUCAAGGCAGUGGAAACUACACAGCUAGAGUACGGUCGGGGUAGAAGGAAUUCCUGGUGUAGCGGUGAAAUGCGUAGAGAUCAGGAAGAACACCGGUGGCGAAAGCGUUCUGCUAGACCUGUACUGACACUGAGGGACGAAAGCUAGGGGAGCGAAUGGGAUUAGAUACCCCUGUAGUCACGCGU